CUACGGGUGGCAGCAGUGGGGAAUAUUGCACAAUGGGCGCAAGCCUGAUGCAGCCAUGCCGCAUGUAUGAAGAAGGCCUUCGGGUUGUAAAGUACUUUCAGCGGGGAGGAAGGGAGUAAAGUUAAUACCUUUGCUCAUUGACGUUACCCGCAGAAGAAGCACCGGCUAACUCCGUGCCAGCAGCCGCGGUAAUACGGAGGGUGCAAGCGUUAAUCGGAAUUACUGGGCGUAAAGCGCACGCAGGCGGUUUGUUAAGUCAGAUGUGAAAUCCCCGGGCUCAACCUGGGAACUGCAUCUGAUACUGGCAAGCUUGAGUCUCGUAGAGGGGGGUAGAAUUCCAGGUGUAGCGGUGAAAUGCGUAGAGAUCUGGAGGAAUACCGGUGGCGAAGGCGGCCCCUGGACGAAGACUGACGCUCAGGUGCGAAAGCGUGGGGAGCAAACAGGAUUAGAUACCCCGGUAGUC
rnacentral:rRNA from 1 species